rnacentral:lncRNA from 1 species
UUUCCCUCAAAUUUUUUUUUUGAUUCAUGUUAAAUUAAAGUUAUAGUUUUGUUCUCUUGUAAAUGAUCUUCAGCUCUUUUGAGCAUGUGGGUUCUUAUUCUUUUGGCUUUUGGAUCAUCACUGCUGCGGUUUAUGUGUUGAGCUCGUGUCGUUUUGGUUUGGCUUGGCUUGGCAUACUGGGUUCACUAAAAUUUGCAGCAGGCUCUGUCUUUUUCUCUGUCCUUUUUUUUUUGUCUUUUCUAAUUUGGGAUUAUUUAGUUUUAAAUUUGUCUUAAUUUCAUUUAAGUAAAAUUAACGAAAGCUUUCAUUGUGAUCGAAACCCCGAACUUCCGGACUUGUAUGGAUAAUUUAGUUCCGUGUUUGUGUAGCUUGUGUUCAAGAUAAGUGAUUUUAUUUUAAUUAUUCGUUAUUAUUAUUAUUAUUAUUAUUUUUUUUUUCUUUUGCUUAUUCGGAAGGGAAUCUGGCUGUAAGCUUCUGUUAAAAGCUAUUACACUUUUUUUAUUUUUUUUGGGGGGGGGGGGGUGGGUUUGCCGUUUAUGUAUUUUAGUUCCAACUGUAGGCAGAUCUGGGCUCUGGUAAUGUGGUGGUCAUUUUUUUUUUUAAUAAAUUUCGUUUUGUUAAAAGCUCUUGACACAUUAAUUUGUUGUAAUUUUGUUUUUUGUUACAUUUAUUAUUUUAUUACUUGCCUUGUUUAUCUAAUUAAUGGGUUUAUGGGAAUUUGUACUUGGGGUUAUAUGUCUUUGAAUAGAAGUUGAUACAGAUUCACUGUACCGGGUUUAUCUAAGCUGGAACUGAUUUGUUUUAUUUAUUUAAUUUGCAGGACUUGACGGUUAAUGUAUAUUUCUAUAUUCUGAAUUGCAGAGUUCUCUGUUUUCAAGUUAUUUGUGGAGUACUUUUGUGCAUUUGUUGGUCGAGAGGGAGA